rnacentral:rRNA from 1 species
GAUGAACGCUAGCGGCAGGCCUAAUACAUGCAAGUCGGACGGGAUUCAGGAGCUUGCUUCUGAUGAGAGUGGCGCACGGGUGCGUAACACGUAUGUAACCUACCUUUAUCAGGGGGAUAGCCUCUCGAAAGAGAGAUUAAGCCCGCAUAAAAUCACAGCACAGCAUUGUGUAGUGAUCAAAUAUUUAUAGGAUAAAGAUGGGCAUGCGGAACAUUAGCUAGCUGGCGGGGUAACGGCCCACCAGGGCGACGAUGUUUAGGGGAUCUGAGAGGAUGGCCCCCCACACGGGGACUGAGACACGGACCAGAGACCUACGGGAGGCAGCAGUAAGGAAUAUUGCUGAAUGGGCGGAAGCCUGAACCAGCCAUGCCGCGUGCAGGAAGACGGCCUUACGGGUUGUAAACUGCUUUUAUACGGGAAUAAACCCAGAUACGUGUAUCUGGCUGAAUGUACUGUAAGAAGAAGGAUCGGCUAACUACGUG